ensembl:lncRNA
GAAAAAGAGGAUGUAUAGUCAAAUCCACACCAUCUCUUUAACACAAGAAGAUCAGUUUUCCUUCAGUUUUCAUUCCUUCAAUUGCCUUUAGCUAGUCUCAGGUUUACUCUGAAUAUACUGUAUACCGCUGUUAGUUGUUUACAUCGUCACUUUGAAUGUUCUUAAUUUCUUCAAAUUAAUUCAGCUGCACUUUGCUAUGAUGUGCCAUUAAACUACACACAAACCGGCAGCUUGGAGCCCAUAAUUUAAUCUAAAACAGAGACAUCAUCAAGCAGCCCUGCUCACACAGAGGCGGCUCUAACACUGUAAACAACAACUCCAACGAGGAAUCGAUUUAUGGAACUCAAGUUCUGCCCCACAUCCCGUCCAUCAUGUGGCAUCAGGAUCAAUGAGCUGUUCUAAAGAGCAGCUGACCUGGAAGGUUAACCAGGACUCUAUCCGAACACGUAUGGAAGGUUUGUUCGCUAUGUCUCCACCAGAAAAGAUUGUGUUUUCACCUUUGCGACAUGUGUUUAUAUUUAGAAAGCUGACCGAAUCAUCUGCAUGUUUUAGCAGCUGUAUGCGUCUGUCCCUGCAGAGCCGAGAGAGUGUUUGAGUAAGUGUGUCCCGCUCACAGAGAUCAGCCGCUCGUCACGGGAGGUAAAUGCAUCUAGGGCGACUGUGAUCGGGGCUUUAAAGCUGUCGAAAUCUGGCCAGCCCAACUCAUCAUGGUCCAGUUUUCGACACACACCAAUAAUGGAGGCGAAAAUGCAGAAUGGCUCAUCGAAAACAAGAAGAGGAGUUACGGUCAACAGGAUGGUGUCCACCUUAAAGAGGCAGCCAAUGCCCAAAACGGUAUCUGGAAGGUUUGAACUUGGCUCCUAUUCAUCCACAGCUUCUUGUCCAAACUUCUCAGAAUGCCAGAGCGACCUGGAUGAAGAUCCGCAGCCACGCUGUCCAUCCAGCCUUUCCUCGCCCUCCCUGCACAGGCCUGGUUCCACCUCCAAUCUCAAGGGCUCCGUCUCCAGCCUGCAAGGCUCCUUGUCAAGUCUAAAGGGUUCGGUGGUAAGCCUCAAGAGCUUUCCUACCUCCUCGACACUGCAGAGCUCCAGUCUCAGCGUGCGGAGCUCCAGCUCCAGCCAGCGCAGCUCCAGUGAGGACGACAGCUGGGACACCAACAGCUGGAGCUCCGGAGCCACAUGUCUGCUGCGCAGCUCUAUUAAGCAGCACAGUGAGGAGGUUUUCCGGGUGCGUGCCGGCUCUGCAAGUCGACCCGAUGGUACGAGCGAUUCUGAGACGGGCUACCAGAACUCCGACAGCUGCCAGGGCAGUGUGGUGGGAUCGGAGAGCCAGGAGGGAGCGGAGCAGGUCGAUGUGGGGCGGAGAGAUUCGUCAUCAAGUCAGGGCACCUCUGUUGCUUCAACCGCAUCAUCCAACUUAGAGCAGAAGAUUGAAGAGAAGCUCAAGUUUUCUCAGUUUCUUGAUGAGGUAACGUGUAGGGUCCUGGAACCUGAGUGUCUGCAAGUCUUCGGAGCACCCAUCUGUCAGAAUGAGCCGGCGUAUCCACAAACAUCAUCGCUCCAAUGCCUAAACUUAACCCCAGUUUCCAGUCCUUGGUUUGGUUCCAGUAGGGAUUCUGCCUGUGAUUCCAGAGACAGUAACGUGUGCAACUGGGCCAAGUCCAUGCCGAGCUGCAAGAUUCUGGACGCCAGCGAAACCCUGAGAAGAACUCAAGAGGAAGUGGAAAUGUUAGGAAGGACUUACCUAGAGACUGACAUAGACAGAGUGAGAAGGGAAGAUGAAGUGAGCUCCACACUUUCACGAUGCGUGGAAAAGAGAACCUUACAGCCGAGUGGCGAAUCUUCUCACAGAUGCUGGAGUCCUGUUUUAAAGCGCUCAGAUGGAGCACCGCAGCCACCGUACAGCACCACCUCGCUCCCGAGACCUGCUGCGAGCGGCGAUAUGGUUUCUGAUGGAGGCGCGAGCAGCAGCAGGACACACUGAGAGAACAUGAAAAAGAUUUAUACUGGGAAAACGGCGCUAAAAGCACCAAUAAAUGAUAGUAAACAUCAGAAGAGGAGCUCGCUGCAGGAGCAGAAGGAGGAUCUGCGCAGGCGUCUCGGCUGCACCACACACAAACUGCAGACGCGUCAGUAUCUGGAGACGGAGCUGCGACGAGCUCAAGACCAGCUGGACAAAUUCACCGAGAAGCUGCGCAGGAUUCAGAGCAGCUACACGGCUCUACAGAGAAUAAACCAGGACAUGGAGGAGAAAAUCCACCGAAUGACUCAACGUCACGAAGAGGAGAAGAGAUUGCGGAGUCGAGAGAUUGUCACGCUGAAAAACCACCUGAUGGAGGCCAAGAUCUUCAUCCAGAAGCUGCGAGAGGAUAAUGAUCUGUAUAGGAAAGACUGCAAUCUGGCGGCUCAACUGCUCCAGUGUGGAAAAUCAUCUUACAUAGCGCACAAACUAUCCGAGCUUCCUGCUGAUCUUCAGGAUCGAGUUAGUUCCCACAUGGAGCAGCAGGGCUGCGGCCGGAGUGCAGCAUUGCAUCACUCCAACUCAGACGCCGUUCCCACCGCCGUCAUCAGCCGGGUCCUGGAGAAACCUGAGCCUGGGAGAAGCUGUCCAGUCACACGCUCGCCAAGCCCACAAGCUCCAGAAUUCGCAGACAAAAUCCAGCGGCACACGGCGUAUAAGUCGUCUGACCUGUACUGCAGUGACACGGCACUGUACUGUCCUACUGAUGAGAGGCGGCGUGACCGCUGGCCGGAGAGAUGCCAGAGUGUGGAUCAGAGUGGACGGAUCCAAGGACACCCGUCCACCGAUGGCUACCUGGAUGACGAGAGCUUCCCCCUGCAUGAAGACCCUUUCUGUGGGUUCGUCCUCGGAUCUCUUCCCACCUCCAGCCGUUAUUCCAGCUGCAGCAUAGCUUCGGACAAGAAGCUUCAUGUUUCGUCUUUGUGCACUGACUGUCGUGAUGGAGACUAUGAGUACAAGAACUUGGCCAUGCAUGGAAAGGAACAUCCAGGUUUUCCCAAGUCAGGCAGGUUCCAGCAUGUGGGCUCACAGAACGGCCGAUCCGAAGACAGACGCAUCCUCGUCCCUGCGGACCUUACAGAUGGCUGGCGGCAGAUGAGCUCGGAGGACUUCAGUUUCUCAGAGCACCACUUCAAGAUCAAACCGGCUCCUCUUUACAACAGCCUCCAGGAUGGAGACAAUGUCUUCCACAGGCAGGUGCCGGAUUUGCAAUUCCCAGCGUCGGCGGGAUCGAGUCCUGCACUGAACCUAAAGACAAGUCUGAAUGCACUGAAGGCCGAGAGAGGACUGAUGUUUCGCUCUAAGGAUUCAACAAACAGGUUUUUCAUACCUGGAAACGCUAAAGACAAGGAGAAUGCAACUAAAGACGCUUUACAGAGAGAUUACACUGAUGAAAGUCCUGGCAGUUCAGUGGAGUCACUAAACUGGGCUCUGGACG